GAUGAACGCUGGCGGCGUGCCUAAUACAUGCAAGUCGAGCGAACAGACGAGGAGCUUGCUCCUUUGACGUUAGCGGCGGACGGGUGAGUAACACGUAGGUAACCUACCUAUAAGACUGGGAUAACUUCGGGAAACCGGAGCUAAUACCGGAUAAUAUUUCGAACCGCAUGGUUCGAUAGUGAAAGAUGGCUUUGCUAUCACUUAUAGAUGGACCUGCGCCGUAUUAGCUAGUUGGUAAGGUAACGGCUUACCAAGGCAACGAUACGUAGCCGACCUGAGAGGUGGACGGGCCCCACUGAAACGGGGACACGGUCAAGACUCCUAGGGGAGGCAGAGGUGGGGAAUCUUCGGAAAUGGGCAAAGCCCUAACGAGCAACCGCGGCGUGGGUGAUGAAGGCCUUCGAAUCGAAAACUCUGUUAUUAGGGAAGAACAAACGUGUAAGUAACUGUGCACGUCUUGACGGUACCUAAUCAGAAAGCCACGGCUAACUACGU
rnacentral:rRNA from 1 species